GAUGAACGCUGGCGGCGUGCCUAAUACAUGCAAGUCGAGCGAACAGAUAAGGAGCUUGCUCCUUUGACGUUAGCGGCGGACGGGUGAGUAACACGUGGGUAACCUACCUAUAAGACUGGGAUAACUUCGGGAAACCGGAGCUAAUACCGGAUAACAUUUGGAACCGCAUGGUUCUAAAGUGAAAGAUGGUUUUGCUAUCACUUAUAGAUGGACCCGCGCCGUAUUAGCUAGUUGGUAAGGUAACGGCUUACCAAGGCGACGGUACGUAGCCGACCUGAGAGGGUGAUCGGCCACACUGGAACUGAGACACGGUCCAGACUCCUACGGGAGGCAGCAGUAGGGAAUCUUCCGCAAUAGGCGAAAGCCUGACGGAGCAACGCCGCGUGAGUGAUGAAGGGUUUCGGCUCGUAAAACUCUGUUAUUAGGGAAGAACAAAUGUGUAAGUAACUGUGCACGUCUUGACGGUACCUAAUCAGAAAGCCACGGCUAACUACGUG
rnacentral:rRNA from 1 species